GAUGAACGCUGGCGGCGUGCCUAAUACAUGCAAGUCGAGCGAACAGACGAGGAGCUUGCUCCUCUGACGUUAGCGGCGGACGGGUGAGUAACACGUGGAUAACCUACCUAUAAGACUGGGAUAACUUCGGGAAACCGGAGCUAAUACCGGAUAAUAUAUUGAACCGCAUGGUUCAAUAGUGAAAGACGGUUUUGCUGUCACUUAUAGAUGGAUCCGCGCCGCAUUAGCUAGUUGGUAGGGUAACGGCUUACCCAGGCGACGAUGCGUAGCCGACCUGAGAGGGUGAUCGGCCACACUGGAACUGAGACACGGUCCAGACUCCUACGGGAGGCAGCAGUAGGGAAUCUUCCGCAAUGGGCGGAAGCCUGACGGAGCAACGCCGCGUGAGUGAUGAAGGUCUUCGGAUCGUAAAACUCUGUUAUUAGGGAAGAACAAAUGUGUAAGUAACUAUGCACGUCUUGACGGUACCUAAUCAGAAAGCCACGGCUAACUACGUG
rnacentral:rRNA from 1 species